UUGAACAUAUCAGUUCAUCAACACACAAAAAUUGUUCCAUAGGAACUUUUUUAAAAUUUUUGUUUAGUUCAUCUAUUAUUGGCCUGAUUUUGAAUAGCCGAUCGUGACAGGAGUGUGACAAAGGCAGAGCAUUAUCAUUGUUGUUAAAGUAAAUGUGACGCCUCAUCAUCUCAAAUGUUUUUUGCGACAUAAUAUUCUGUAUCGCUGGUACUCCAAUUAUUGUUGACCAAUAUUGAGUAAUUCUUGGAAGACGCGAAAUUGACAUGUAUAAUAUUAUUCCAACAAACUGUCGAAUAUCUAAGGACGUAAAAUUGACAUGUUUUUUGGAAAAAGAUACCAAAAAAAUUGUAUUGGCUCUGAUAGUUCCAUUAGUUCCGGAUGCAACAUAGUACUCCCGAGAAACUGCAGUUGAUUUUCGUUCAAAAUUAAACUGCGUUUUCUCCAUAGCAAGUUUCUUUUCAGAUCAGGGUUAUUACUUUUAACAUUUGGCUCAGAAUCAUCUACGAGAUUUGAGUUUGAAACGUCUAAGGCAUUACUCGGUGGAUUUUGGUCAUCGAUGUCAUCUUCAUCCGUACUACCUGCAUCUUUCUCAUCUGGAUAAAAAUCGCUUUCUUCAUCAGCAGAAAAGUCAAGUUCAUCCUCGCUAUCUAAACUGUUGAAAUAAUUUUCAACCUGUGAAGGUGUUAAACCUUUUCCUGACAUAUUUCCUGCCGCACUCAACAUGUGCUUCUCACAAAAUUGGCGGGAAAGUG